rnacentral:rRNA from 1 species
UAUCCCCAGUUAUGGGGUCUGUAUACAGGUGCUGCAUGGUUGUCGUCAGCUCGUGCUGUGAGGUGUUGGGUUAAGUCCCGCAACGAGCGCAACCCUUAUUGUCUGUUACCAGCAUGUAAAGAUGGGGACUCAGACGAGACUGCCGGUGAUAAGCCGGAGGAAGGUGAGGAUGACGUCAAAUCAUCAUGGCCCUUAUGUCCUGGGCUACACACGUGCUACAAUGGCCUGUACAAAGCGAUGCGAAACAGUGAUGUGAAGCAAAACGCAUAAAGCAGGUCUCAGUCCAGAUUGAAGUCUGAAACUCGACUUCAUGAAGUUGGAAUCGCUAGUAAUCGUAUAUCAGAAUGAUACGGUGAAUACGUUCUCGGGCCUUGUACACACCGCCCGUCACACCACCCGAGUUGAGGAUACCCGAAGCUAUUAUUCUAACCCGCAAGGGAGGAAGGUAUCUAAGGUAUGUUUAGUGAGGGGGGUGAAGUCGUAACAAGGUAGCCGUACUGGAAAGUGUGGCUGGAUCACC